GACGAACGCUGGCGGCGUGCUUAACACAUGCAAGUCGAACGGAAAGGCCCUGCUUUUGUGGGGUGCUCGAGUGGCGAACGGGUGAGUAACACGUGAGUAACCUGCCCUUGACUUUGGGAUAACUUCAGGAAACUGGGGCUAAUACCGGAUAGGAGCUCCUGCUGCAUGGUGGGGGUUGGAAAGUUUCGGCGGUUGGGGCUGGACUCGCGGCUUAUCAGCUUGUUGGUGGGGUAGUGGCUUACCAAGGCUUUGACGGGUAGCCGGCCUGAGAGGGUGACCGGCGACAUUGGGACUGAGAUACGGCCCAGACUCGUACGGGAGGCAGAAGGGGGGAAUAUUGCACAAUGGGCGGAAGCCUGAUGCAGCAACGCCGCGUGCGGGAUGACGGCCUUCGGGUUGUAAACCGCUUUCGCCUGUGACGAAGCGUGAGUGACGGUAAUGGGUAAAGAAGCACCGGCUAACUACGUG
rnacentral:rRNA from 1 species